rnacentral:rRNA from 1 species
CCCUGGCAGUCAGAGGCGAUGAAGGACGUGCUAAUCUGCGAUAAGCGUCGGUGAGGUGAUAUGAACCGUUAUAACCGGCGAUUUCCGAAUGGGGAAACCCAGUGUGUUUCGACACACUAUCAUUAACUGAAUCCAUAGGUUAAUGUGGCGAACCGGGGGAACUGAAACAUCUAAGUACCCCGAGGAAAAGAAAUCAACCGAGAUUCCCCCAGUAGCGGCGAGCGAACGGGGAGGAGCCCAGAGCCUGAAUCAGUGUGUGUGUUAGUGGAAGCGUCUGGAAAGGCGCGCGAUA